GAUGAACGCUGGCGGCGUGCCUAAUACAUGCAAGUCGAGCGAACAGACGAGGAGCUUGCUCCUCUGACGUUAGCGGCGGACGGGUGAGUAACACGUGGAUAACCUACCUAUAAGACUGGGAUAACUUCGGGAAACCGGAGCUAAUACCGGAUAAUAUAUUGAACCGCAUGGUGCAAUAGUGAAAGACGGUUUUGCUGUCACUUAUAGAUGGAUCCGCGCCGCAUUAGCUAGUUGGUAAGGUAACGGCUUACCAAGGCAACGACGCGUAGCCGACCUGAGAGGGUGGUCGGCCACCCUGGAACUGAGGCACGGUCCCGACUCCUACGGGAGGCAGCAGUAGGGAAUCUUCCGCAAUGGGCGAAAGCUUGACGGAGCAACGCCGCGUGAGUGAUGAAGGUCUUCGGCUCGUAAAACUCUGUUAUUAGGGAAGAACAAAUGUGUAAGUAACUAUGCACGUCUUGACGGUACCUAAUCAGAAAGCCACGGCUAACUACGUG
rnacentral:rRNA from 1 species